AGCAAGAAGAGUAGACCUCUGAGAAG
rnacentral:piRNA from 1 species